AACCCAGUACCUCGCAUGUGCUAGACAAGCACUCUACCGCUGAACUACAAUCCCGGCCCUGAUGAGUGCUGCUUUUACAAAAUACUACUUGGUUGUGAAAUCAGCCAAUUAAGUAUUAAAGAGCUCAAGGAGAAGUCAUGGUAGAAUGACUGCGAGAAGAUUGCCUGACCUCAGACACAGAUUCUGUAGUAAAUAUCUAUGGAAUUAUAGAAUGGAAUGUGAAUGUUAUGAACAUGUGGUGUCAAUGUAACAAAAAUAGGGAGAAGAAAUGGGAUUAGAAAUGUUAAUGCUAAGAUUUUCAACUUUCAAAGCAGGAAGUUAGUAGAGUGCCCCAAAGUAAAUUGUGUAUACAUUUAAAACUUGAGCAAACAACAUUAGUAAUAAAAUAAUUAAUUAAUAAAACAAAAUAAUUGGCCACUUAAUGUAUAAUGAUUAGAUAACACUAAAGCUUAAAUAAUUUUUCAUGUAUUUUUAAAAAAUGGACUAUUCCAAAAAUAUACAAAGUAAAUAGCCAAUACUAAUUUAUAUGUUAUUUGCAUUUAAUAGAUGUCACCAUGUUGUUGUAUUUGCUUCAGAUCUUGUAUAAAAUAUUUUAGUGAAAAGGAAAAGUUUAGAUAAAAUAUAAUGAAUACUAAUGCAUUUAGCACCUAUACUGGGAAAUAAAACAUUGUGAAUACAAUUGAGGACUCU
rnacentral:lncRNA from 1 species